CCUCUCUGAACAUACAAUACUCUCAUUUCCUCAGUGUAAAGAAGCUCUCCGACAACGCCUUCUUCCUUCUAGGGCUUCUCCUCUCUCCGCCGGUUACGAUCUCUCCAGCUCUGUUAGGGAUUUUUGGGUCUUCCGUUGAAGCAUUGGAUUGACGUUGGUGCGGGGGUGAUUGACGACGAUCUCAGGUCUUCUUUCGCUUACUUCUAUUAACGUAACUUUCUUUUUCCUCUGCUGAAUUAUUUUGAGUAUGCUUCUCUGUCUUGACUCUUGACCUUAAAGGGUAAUCAAAUAUCUUUUCUUUUUGUGCUGUGUUUUACUUCCUGGUGUUGGUAAUGGUGGAAAUUUAAUAAAUUGAGCUCUGAUAUGAGUCUAGUAAUGAAACUUGCAACUAGCUUCCAAACUUUGCUUAUUCUAUUUUGAGUGUAAACCUGGUAUGAUAUUAUUCUAAGACUAUUUCUUAUU